UUACGAUUAAUUUUUUUGAAUUAAUCGCCUGAGUUAACUGUGAUUAAUCGACAGCCCUCAUAUUAACCUCCCUCUGUUUCUAUAACAGGCAAUGAAAUAUUCAGACUCUGUAAUAAUUCCUAGAAAGGUUACUGUCAGGAUUUUCAGCAUCACAGAUCCAGAAUGCCUCCUCCUGCAGGAAAACUUGUGUCAGAAGGCCCAAAGGGAGAGAAAAAAAAUCAGCCAGGGGAUUUUCAUGGAUUCUUCCUUGAACUGCUCCUACUUGUUUAAAGGUCUUUGUGGACGAUGGAUAGUGGAGUUUCCCACCCUGUUAUUGGAUUUCCUGUGGAUCGUUGGGUAUGUGUGAGGAAGAGAGCCCCCUUCGCACAUAGAAGCCAUCCUGGAGGGAUAGCUGCUGCUGCUCUGUUGCAUCCCAUACCCCCAAUGGCACAACUUAUCAAUUGACAGAGUCCACAUACAGCUAUAUAGUAGUAAAAAUGUAGGAUACCUGAGGUGAGAAUAAAAUCUCACAUGUUUUGCACUGAAA